UCAAAUAAUUCAGAAAAAUCUUUCAAAGAAUCAGCCAAUUUUAUACAACUCUGUGCUUCUACAAAAACUGGAUUAUCUUUUAAAGUUGAACAGGAUCAAUCAAAAUCAAUUUUUGUGAGACAAACCAUUUUUCCAAAAAUCAAUUUGAAUAGUAAUUUAUCAAAUCAAAAUGGAGAAUACGAAAGAAUAUUUUAUAAAAGUGGAAUUUAACAAAAAAGUAUAAAAAUGGAGAAAUGACGUUUUAUGAACUACAAGGAAAUAUUUAUUUAAAAAAAGAAAUACAAAUCGCGAUUCCGAAAGUAGUCAAGGAGACAGAGGGCAGAAAAUUAAGCUUGCAGAAAUGUGACUAAAUGAUUCUUAUAAAAUUAGCAUCUUCAAAGCGUAAGAAUAUCCAGAACGAACCGACAGAGAACAUAACUUAUGAAACAAUCACAGAAUGGACAGCGACGAGUGUUAAUGGGGACAAAAUUGUCUCAUUCUCAAACGACAGUCCUCCUUCAUUUACAAAAUUGGCCAUCCAUGAAGUGACCGACCCCGAAAGUGGACAAAAAAUGACAACGCGUGAAGACGGGACUGUAAUUAUAAAUUUUCCAGACGGAACGUGUAUUUCUGAGUUCCCAGACAAGACGAGGAUUACAUCAUAUACUGAAAUCUUUGAGGGUGAUAGCGAUUUGGUGAAAUUCGUCAAGUUUGAACACCCAGAUUACGCAACAGUCUUAUUUAACCAACAAACCAAUAGUCUGAU